rnacentral:rRNA from 1 species
AUUGAACGCUGGCGGCAGGCCUAACACAUGCAAGUCGAACGGUAACACGAUGAGGCUUUCUUCUUUGCUGAGGAGUGGCGCGGGCGUGUGUGAUGUCCAGGGAACUCUACGAUGUAGGGGGAUAACUAGUGGAAACGGUAACUAUUACAGCACAACCUCGCUACGCCAGAGAGCAGGACCUUCUCGCCCCUUGCGCUCGGGUAUGCGCCGAUGGGAUUAGCUAGUAGGUGGGGUAACGGCUCACCCAGGCGACGAUCCGUAGCUGGUCUGAGAGGAUGAUCAGCCACACUGGAACUGAGACACGGUCCAGACUCCUACGGGAGGCAGCAGUGGGGAAUAUUGGACAAUGGGCGCAAGCCUGAUGCAGCCAUGCCGCGUGGAUGAAGAAGGCCUUCGGGUUGUAAAGUACUUUUGGCGGGGAGGAAGAGAGGAAGGUUAAUACCUCUGCGUAUUGACGGUACCCGCAGAAGAAGCACCGGCUAACUCCGUG